GACGAACGCUGGCGGCGUGCUUAACACAUGCAAGUCGAACGGUGAAGCGCCUUCCUUUUUGGUGGGUGUGGAGGAGUGGCGAACGGGUGAGUAACACGAUAGUAACCUGCCCCCUUCUUCUGGAUAACCGCAUAAAAGUGUGGCUAAUACGGGAUAUUCUGAGUCUGUCGCAUGAUGGGUCUGGGAAGGAUAUUGUUUCGGUGGUGGAUAGGCUCGCGGCGUAUUAGCUUGUUGGUGGGGUGAUGGCUUACCAAGGCGGCGAUGGGUAGCCGGCCUGAUGGGAGGGUGGGCCGCCAUAGAGGGACGGCGACGCGGACACGCCUACUGCGGGAGGCAGCAGGGGGGAUUACGGAACAAUGGGAGGAAGGAUGAAGCAGCGACGCGGGGGGGGGGAUGGAGGCCGUAGCGUUGUGAUCCUCUUUCGCGAGUGAAGAAGGGCUGAAGUGUCUGUGGGUGGGUUGACGGUAGCUGGACAAGAAGCGCCGGCUAACUACGUG
rnacentral:rRNA from 1 species